GGAGCAUUUACUCAGUGAGUGCAAGAGGUUUGUUUGAAACAGACCGCAAUGGAGAGAUCAGCGCCCAGGGAAGGGAGGGAACAGCAGGCUCCUUCCAGCAGCACAUCGGGAUGGGAGCCUGGGACACAGAGGGGGCUCCGAGACCGGGAUUGAUUCGGGGCAAAUAUUUGAUGGAUCAGUCCAAGAGUGACCAGCUGCUUCUCACAAUCAGCAGGCAAGUACUCAAAGCACCAAGACAAUGUAAUAUUCCCUCAGUACAGAGCCAAGUGUGACCAGCUGCUUCCAACAAACAGCGGGUAUGUUACUGCUGUCAGAGCAGAGAACGUCCUUUCCACAGUCUGAGUGGAUUGACAUUGAGCUCCAUUCCCAGAGAGAUAUGUUCAAACCAAGAGUCAAACACUACUGAGUAAACAGAAGUUUAUAUUUUUAAAUCUA